AGAAUCAACGCUGGCGGCGUGCCUCAGACAUGCAAGUCGAACGAUUAAACUCCCCUUCGGGGGAGAUAUAAAGUGGCGCACGGGUGAGUAACACGUGGGUAAUUUACCUUUGGGUGGGAACAACAGCCGGAAACGGCUGCUAAUACCGCAUAAUGCAGCGGCAUCUAUGAUGACAGUUGUUAAAGCGGGGGAUCGCAAGACCUCGCGCCUAAAGAGAAGCCCGCGGCAGAUUAGCUAGUUGGUAAGGUAAUGGCUUACCAAGGCGACGAUCUGUA
rnacentral:rRNA from 1 species